rnacentral:rRNA from 1 species
GAUGAACGCUGGCGGCGUGCCUAAUACAUGCAAGUCGAGCGAACAGACGAGGAGCUUGCUCCUUUGACGUUAGCGGCGGACGGGUGAGUAACACGUGGGUAACCUACCUAUAAGACUGGGAUAACUUCGGGAAACCGGAGCUAAUACCGGAUAAUAUUUCGAACCGCAUGGUUCGAUAGUGAAAGAUGGCUUUGCUAUCACUUAUAGAUGGACCUGCGCCGUAUUAGCUAGUUGGUAAGGUAACGGCUUACCAAGGCAACGAUACGUAGCCGACCUGAGAGGGUGAUCGGCCACACUGGAACUGAGACACGGUCCAGACUCCUACGGGAGGCAGCAGUAGGGAAUCUUCCGCAAUGGGCGAAAGCCUGACGGAGCAACGCCGCGUGAGUGAUGAAGGUCUCCGGAUCGUAAAACUCUGUUAUUAGGGAAGAACAAACGUGUAAGUAACUGUGCACGUCUUGACGGUACCUAAUCAGAAAGCCACGGCUAACUACGU